CCACAGGUUCCCUUAUGAUCACCAAGGUUAAGUAAUAUAAAGCCUGGUCAGUACCUAGAUGGGUGACCACUUGGGAAUACCAGGUUCUGUAAG